AACGAACGCUGGCGGCAUGCCUAACACAUGCAAGUCGAACGAGACCUUCGGGUCUAGUGGCGCACGGGUGCGUAACGCGUGGGAACCUGCCCUUAGGUUCGGAAUAACUCCCCGAAAGGGGUGCUAAUACCGGAUAAUGUCUUCGGACCAAAGAUUUAUCGCCUUUGGAUGGGCCCGCGUUGGAUUAGCUAGUUGGUAUGGUAAAAGCCUACCAAGGCGACGAUCCAUAGCUGGUCUGAGAGGAUGAUCAGCCACACUGGGACUGAGACACGGCCCAGACUCCUACGGGAGGAAGCAGUGGGGAAUAUUGGACAAUGGGCGAAAGCCUGAUCCAGCAAGGCCGCGUGAGUGAUGAAGGCCUUAGGGUUGUAAAGCUCUUUUACCCGGGAUGAUAAUGACAGUACCGGGAGAAUAAGCUCCGGCUAACUCCGU
rnacentral:rRNA from 1 species